rnacentral:rRNA from 1 species
AACGAACGCUGGCGGCAGGCCUAACACAUGCAAGUCGAACGCUCCAGCAAUGGAGAGUGGCAGACGGGUGAGUAACGCGUGGGAACCUUCCCUAUGGUUCGGAAUAGCUCAGGGAAACUUGAGGUAAUACCGGAUAAGCCCUUCGGGGGAAAGAUUUAUCGCCAUUGGAUGGGCCCGCGUAGGAUUAGCUAGUUGGUGAGGUAACGGCUCACCAAGGCGACGAUCCUUAGCUGGUCUGAGAGGAUGAUCAGCCACACUGGGACUGAGACACGGCCAGACUCCUACGGGAGGCAGCAGUGGGGAAUAUUGGACAAUGGGCGCAAGCCUGAUCCAGCCAU